GAAAUGCGAUAAGUAGUGUGAAUUGCAGAAUUCAGUGAAUCAUCGAAUCUUUGAACGCACAUUGCGCCCCUUGGUAUUCCAUGGGGCAUGCCUGUUCGAGCGUCAUUUGUACCCUCAAGCUCUGCUUGGUGUUGGGUGUUUGUCCCCGUCUCCGCGCGUGGACUCGCCCCAAAGUGAUUGGCAGCCGGCGUACUGGUCCCGGAGCGCAGCACAUGUCGCGCAAACGAGUGCCUUGGUACGGCGGCGUCCAUAAGCCCCUCUCUCACGCUCUUGACCUCGGAUCAGGUAGAGAUACGCGCUGAACAUAAGC
rnacentral:misc_RNA from 1 species